rnacentral:piRNA from 1 species
UGUUGGAACCAUCUGCUGAGCUGCAGAGC